rnacentral:lncRNA from 10 species
GGAGCACGGGGUGAUCUGGGCACUAACGCUGAUGGGGAGCAGCGGACAUCAGCCUCGACCUCCCACGAGCGGUGCACGAGCGCCUGACCCAGACCUCGACCCUAGCCUUCACCCCCACCCUGACUCCAGUUCAUGAACUGGUCAAAGGAAGAGCCAUGCCAGCAAACGUCUACACUGUACAUGCUUUUUAUUACAAGACUACGGAGCAUAGGAGGAAAAUUCAUCAUCUGGUAACUACACCUAAAGCACAAAUAUUUGGGGGGAAAAAAAGAACAGAUUCAUUAAAUUAUAUGAUUAAAUCAUUGACCCAAUAGAAAAUUUAUAUAAUAAGGGCGGGGCCUGGUGGCUCACGCCUGUAAUCCCAGCACUUUGGGAGGCCGAGGCGGGAGGAUCAGGCGGUCAGGAGAUCGAGACCACGCUGGCCAACAUGGUGAGGCCCGGUCUCCACUGAAAAUACAAAAAUUAGCCUGGCGCGGUGGUGGGCGCCGGUAAUCCAAGCUACUCGGGAGGCUGCGGCAGGAGAAUGGCGUGAACCCGGGAGGCAGAGGUUGCAGUGAGCUGAGAUCUCGCCACUGCACUCCAGCCUGGUGAUAGGGCGAGAGUCUGUCUCAAAAAAAAAAAAAGAAAGUUUUUGUAAUAAAGCCAGAAAAAAGUUGUAAAAUAUAUAGUAAUUAUUCACAUUCAAGGCUGUAUAUCAAUACAUAUAACAACGUGGCCCCGAACAUGAAUUCAAUACAAAUAAUUCAUAUAUUAGAAUUUAGGCCGGGCGCGGUGGCUCAUGUCUGUAAUCCCAACACUUUGGGAGGCCAAGGUGGGUGGAUCACGAGGUCAGGAGUUCAACAUCAGCCUGGCCAAGAUGGUGAAUCUCCGUCUCUACCAAAAAUACAAAAAAUUAGCCAGAUGUGGUUGUGGGCGCUCGUAAUCCCAGCUACUCGGAGGCUGAGGCAGAGAAUUGCUUAAACCCAGGAGGCGGAGGUUGCAGUUAGCCGAGAUCAGGCCACUGCACUCUAGCCUGGGCGACAGAGUGAGACUCCGUCUCAAGAAAAAAAAAGAAUUUAAAUAACAGGCUGAACUAGAGGCCAACAAUAGCCAGCAAAUAACCUUCUAUAAGAUUAAAAACACAAAAGUGUAUAUCCUAAUACCAUUGUAUUAUUUGUUUUCAUGAGUUCUUUUAAUUUUUGCUUUGUCUGUACAUCACAGUUACAGCUACAGACCAGGUAGAGAAUAUUACGCAUGUUCUGACUGCCACCCACCUGAAAGACGUACUAGUCAUUUAUCCUAUUUCAUGUUGUGAAGGAACAGCUACAGCAGCUCUAAAUACUGUAACAAUUUAAUUUUGCCAACAUCCAACUUAACAGUCGUAAUAGAGGCUUUUACCAGCACAAUGACCCCUAUUCGUAGUCAUUCUGCCAGACGGUUAGGCUAUGUGGGUUACACAGCUUAAAAAAGGUCUGCCUUUUGUAAAAAGUUCUCUGUACAUAGUUUGGUGUUUCUUCAUAUGGAAGAAAUGAGUUAUGGGGAAAAUUCAGGUACACACGUAGGCUCGUUCAGUUGCUCACCACAGCCAUCUCAACAGAUGAAAGUGCUCUUUGUUGGAAACAGCUUCCUCCUCACACCAGUUCUCCACAGGCAGCCUCAUCUACAACCCUGCAAUUUUGGGCCAGAAGUGGUGGCCCCUCAGAGGCUCUGAAGUGCCUCCAGCCCCGAUUCAGGCACUUGCCACGUGUGCUGCGUAAGAAGGGACCCCACCCAGUGAGUCAACAUAGGCUCAUGUCAAGUUUGAAAAUAACUGGGGAAAAGUGUAUGACAACAUCUUCCAGAACAUAGUACCUUCACCGUAUUCUCACAGCAGCUGCGAUCUCUGAAGUCUCAGCAGUGAGCACCCCGGGUCUGUCAACCAGCCAGGCAAGGGGGGGCCCUCAGGCUUCAGAGGGCAAGAAACCAAAUUCCGUGCAAUUUGGCCAUAAUCUCUGGUAGAGUGAAGCAGCACUGAACGCAGUGCCUAGAAAAACCUCCUGCACGUUCCCCUGCACAAUCAAUGGACCCCAACUACAGUGGAGAAAUGAAGAAUCCAACCAAAUUUGGGUGGUCUGGACUUGCUGCCAGCCAGGCAAUCUGCAACACUGUGGGCAGGGAGAUGGGGGGAGGCGGCCUGAAAUCUACACCAGCUGGGACAACCACGCCCUACAAUGAAAAAGCCAGCCUGGCUGCUGGGCUCUUGUGAACCACUAAGACCUGAAGGUGGGGGGGUGGAAGGGGGAGACAAAUGCACUCUUGUAAAACCCAAUCAGCUACGUGGUUUUUUUCAAGUAGAGGCUUUGCUCUGCUACUGACUCCAAAUGGCCUAAUGUACUUUCUGAGUCUAUAAACUUAAUUACAGAUCACUCACUAAGCAUGUGGCAAGGUCAGUUCAACACUUGUUAUCUCUGCUGACUGCGCAGUUGCAAAUUCAAUACCAUUGUGGACAUGAAGUACAAGAUUCUGAAAAUAUCGCCAAGCGCUUGAAAGCCACGGCAGCAGGGAGGGCAGAGAGCUGACAUGCAGGCAGAGCCAGGUUCUUGCAACCAAAACAAGGAAAUUGGCUCUUGGAAAAAAUCGGCCACAAAUGGAUUGCAGUAGUGACAUCCUCUUAGCAUUUAAAUAAAGAGCGGUCUUAUUCAGACAUUCUUUGGAACACACGGCUUAUCAGAAACCGAUUUGUUCAGAAUCUGUAAGACACAACUAAGGUGGUUCUGCUACUGGAACUGAGCGUCUACACAUCAGGUCGAGAGAGAGACAGAAAUAUCUUCAAAAUGAACAAACUCUUUCACCUCAAAAUACCACUUCCAGGCAUCUAAGGGGAAAAAAAGUAAGAAAUCAGAAGAUUUUAAAGAUAUUCAUCACAGCAUUAUUUAAAUAGUGGAAAAAUCAGAAACCGUCAAGUAUUUUACAGUAGGGAAAUGGUCAGAUAAAUUAUAGUAAAUGGACAAUGACUAAAUAGUACAAUUGUUAAAAACAUGUUUCUGAGAAACUCAUGACAUGGGAAAAUGCUUAAAAUAUCAAGGGAGAAGACGAUGCAAACGGUGUGUGUCGGAUGUUCCUAUUUUAGUUUAAAAAGUGAACAAAUGGCAGGGCAGGAUAUACGGCAAAAUGCUCACAGUGGUCUUCUCUGGCCGGUGAGCCUACAGCUGAUCUUGUCAGAGACAAACGUUAGUUUUACUGAGUCACCCAGAGCCCUGUGCUGGUGCCUGAGGGUUUGUUCCAUGGGACAGUCUCCACAAUUCCUCUGGGGAAGGGCCACAAAUCCCACAGUGUGUCCCAAGAGGGCUGGAGUAGGCGGAGUCCCCAGCAGCUGUGGCAUGACCAGCCAUCUCUCUCAAAACAAUUGUUAACAAGCCUUCUGCAAGUUAAGGUUCCACAUGGUAGCCGUGGUACAGAGGCAUUUCUCUAGGGUGGAGAGGCUUGUGCUCUACACCAGGACUGCCCACCGCCCUGGCUGGGGCCACACAAAGAGGGGAGAAAGGAAUCCCUCAGAAGCCAGCCCCCAACUGUGUCCCAGAGAAAGGCGGGGCACCUGGGACACCUAGGCCGGCAGCGACCACAGCCUCCCUCCACUUUGUGCCGAGAAGCCGCACAGUGUGGUCCCGACAUUCCACCUGUCCUUGCCCAUGUGUGGGGAGGCACAUGGCCCCAAGUCUAUUAAACAGCAAGUGAAAUCUUCCUCAUCUUGGAUAAACCCACAACUGUAAUUCCACGUAAGUGUGUCUAUGUGCACACACAGUACCCCACGUUCUACCGUAGAAUGUAAGGCGCCUGCGUGCCAGGUGAUGGCUCUAAGGAUGUGGUAGAGAAAACCGGAGUAGACAUGAGCAAGCACAGGGUAAGGAAAGAAAACACACGGGCCUUUCAAAAGGGAAGAGCAAGGUGAGGAGAAAGGUGACCCACAGAAGGGCUUGGCUGUCAGCUCAGGCAAUGGCAUCAUUUCGGCUGGCGGCUGCCAGCUCUGGCUCUGAGCCCCUAGUUCUGUGGCUUUGGAGGUUAAGAUGGAGCUUGUCAGUGACGCCCAGGAGGUGGUGGUUCUAUCCAGAGGAAGAACGCACGGAAGAGUCUCCCCAGGCAGCCCAGCCGAGUGCUCCAAUUAAAGCCACGUCCCUGCUCCACUUGUUUCCCUAUAACCAGACGCCC